rnacentral:lncRNA from 1 species
CUCUGGGCUGGCGGCCGCCCUCGCCCUCGCCCUCAGGUGGAGGAACCGGCUGAGCUGGGGGGCUCGCUUCUCACCCCGUUCUCAGCUUUUUCCUGAGGCCACUGAGUUUCCAGGACCAGCGAGAUGCCCGCGUUGGGGACUGUAAAAGUUUGCCUGUCUCUGUGGCGGCAUAGAUUUCUGUGUGGUCUGCUCUUCACUUUCAUUAAGUCCAGGGUAUAGGAUGACCAACCAGAGCUUCAAGAUGAGGUUCUUUGAGACAGAAAUUCAGAAAAUUGAAACCAAAAUAACCACACA